rnacentral:rRNA from 1 species
UACGUAGGGUGCAGGCGUUAAUCGGAAUUACUGGGCGUAAAGCGUGCGCAGGCGGUUUGCUAAGACAGGUGUGAAAUCCCCGGGCUUAACCUGGGAACUUCGCUUGUAACUGGCAAGCUAGAGUGUGGCAGAGGGGGGUGGAAUUCCACGUGUAGCAGUGAAAUGCGUAGAGAUGUGGAGGAACACCGAUGGCGAAGGCAGCCCCCUGGGCUAACACUGACGCUCAUGCACGAAAGCGUGGGGAGCAAACAGG